rnacentral:rRNA from 1 species
AUACAUGCCGAAAAUCCCGACUCGCGAAGGGAUGUAUUUAUUAGAUAAAAAGCCAACGCCCCUUUCGGGGGGCUUCUCGGUGAUUCAUGAUAACUCUACGAAUCGCAUGGCCUUGCGCCGGCGAUGGUUCAUUCAAAUUUCUGCCCUAUCAACUUUCGAUUGCAGGGUAUUGGCCUGCAAUGGUUUCAACGGGUAACGGGGAAUUAGGGUUCGAUUCCGGAGAGGGAGCCGGAGGAACGGCUACCACAUCCAAGGAAGGCAGCAGGCGCGCAAAUUACCCAAUCCCAACAUGGGGGAGGUAGUGACAAUACAUACUGAUACAGGGCUCUUUUGGGUCUUGUAAUUGGAAUGAGUACAAUCUAAACACCUUAACGAGGAACAAUUGGAGGGCAAGUCUGGUGCCAGCAGCCGCGGUAAUUCCAGCUCCAAUAGCGUAUAUUAAAGUUGUUGCAUUUAAAAAGCUCGUAGUUGAACCUCGGGCCUGGCCAGCCGGUCCGCCUCACCGCGUGCACUGGUCCGGCCGGGCCUUUCCUCCCGGGGAACCGCGGACCCUUUACGGGGCCCGUCGGGGAGCCGGGACUUUUACUUUGAAAAAAUUAGAGUGUUCAAAGCAGGCAUUCGCUCGCAUACAUUAGCAUGGAAUAAUGGAAUAGGACGCGCGGUCCUAUUUCGUUGGUUUCUAGGACCGCCGUAAUGAUUAAUAGGGAUAGUCGGGGGCAUCCGUAUUGAGUUGUCAGAGGUGAAAUUCUUGGAUUUGCUCAAGACGAACUACUGCGAAAGCAUUUGCCAAGGAUGUUUUCAUUAAUCAGGAACGAAAGUUAGGGGAUCGAAGACGAUCAGAUACCGUCGUAGUCUUAACCAUAAACUAUGCCGACCAGGGAUCGGGCGAUGUUUCUUUGAUGACUCGCUCGGCACCUUGCGAGAAAUCAAAAGUCUUUGGGUUAUGGGGGGAGUAUGGUCGCAAGGCUGAAACUUAAAGAAAUUGACGGAAGGGCACCACCAGGAGUGGAGCCUGCGGCUUAAUUUGACUCAACACGGGGAAACUUACCAGGUCCAGACGACAAGUAGGAUUGACAGAUUGAGAGCUCUUUCUUGAUUUUGCGAUGAGUGGUGCAUGGCCGUUCUUAGUUCGUGGAGUGAUUUGUCAGCUUAAUUGCGAUAACGAACGAGACCUUGACCUGCUAAAUAGCCCGGCCGGCUCGCGCCGGCGGCAGGCUUCUUAGAGGGACUAUCGGCUCAAGCCGAUGGAAGUUUGAGGCAAUAACAGGUCUGUGAUGCCCUUAGAUGUCCUGGACGGCACGCGCGCUACACUGACGGAGCCAACGAGUUCCUCCCCUUGGUCGGAAGGCCUGGGUAAUCUUGUUAAACUCCGUCGUGCUGGGGAUAGAGCAUUGCAAUUAUCGCUCUUCAACGAGGAAUUCCUAGUAAGCGCGAGUCAUCAGCUCGCGCUGAUUACGUCCCUGCCCUUUGUACACACCGCCCGUCGCUACUACCGAUCGAAUGGCUUAGUGAGGCGUUCGGACUGGCCCGGGGGGGUCGGUAACGACUGCCCGGGGCCGGAAAGUCCGUCGAACUUGGUCAUUUAGAGG